UUUAGCAUUGGCCAAUGCAUCUACUCAUUUGACUUUGUUUAUUUACUUGGCAAAUAAUGAGGUAUCAUCGUGUCAAAUACAUUGUAGAUAUAUGAGUAUACAUACUUUCUUUAUAAUGUAGUUGUAGAAUUAAUUUUAAAAUAUAUUUUAAUAUGUCAUAGACCUUUCUUUUUGUUCAUCUUUCCGUUUCCUAUUUUCCUUUCUUCUGUCAACCUAGGCACCUAUAUUUUCCUUUAAACCUUAUUUUUUGUUUAAUUUCUUUCAUUUAAGAAACCCACCACCUUUCCGAAAUCAUUCAAACAACCAUACUUAUAAAAUUACCAUUUCUAUAUAAAAAUCUACCACAAAAAAAAUAAUUAAAAAAAAGCCAAAUUCAAAGAUAACAAAAGUAAAGCCAAAAAAUGAUUUACAAUAUUUUAGAUGUUAUUUCGGAAGGUGGUAGUACUAGUUGCAAGAAUGUGUAUUGCGAACCACAAAUUGGGUAGUUUACUAUUAUUAGGAGUAAAUUUUAAUUUUAAUUUUAUUUAUUUAACUUAAUUUCUAAGCUUUCGUAGGCCAUGGUUUUUUUGUGGUAAUUUAAUGGAAUUGUGGACUUAGAUUUGAGAAUGUAGGCUCAACUGAAACUCGACGAUAGUUAAUUAUAAUAAUUGUCAAGUAAUAUUCUCCCAAAUGCCCAUUUGGAGUUCAUCCAUAAGAGAGUGCAGGAAAAGCUCAAGAAUGGCAAUGAUACAGCUCAGAAGCAAAUAGAAGGAAAAGAAGAGAAAGGUACAAACUCUCUUGUUUGGGUAAAAAAUUGGGGGAAAUUGUUGAUAGAUUUGAUGAAUUGGCUGAUAAAAGGUGUCAUUUCAGCUUAGAAGCUUUGGUAAUAGCGACCCAGGGAAUUAUCGCUUCAGAUUUGAAGAUUACAAUAGUUACUCGAUGUAUUCGUCUUAAAGGCCUAGGUACACCUCUUGUUGGAUGAUAAAAUAUAUUUGCGAAGGGAAAUUAUGUUGAUGUUCAGGGGACGGCCAUGGAUCGAGUUGUAGAGCAAAUUGGUAGUCAUGUUCAAAUGAUGAAAGUUCGGGAGAAAGUGAUGUUUGUGAUCAUGUAGGGGGUGAUGGUAUAGACUUAAAUCAUGUAGGAGGUGAUGGUAUAGAUAGAAAUCAUGUACGGGGUGAUGGUAAUGACAUGAAUCAUGUAGGGGGUGAUGGGAUUGACUUAAAUCAGAUUGCACAGGAAGGUGAUGAAGGAGUGUGUGUGACUCCAUCGAGGAAUGUCCCCUUGGUGCCUCAUCCAAGUCCAUUACGGUGAUCCAAGAGCACAAUUCUUUAUGGCUGGACAUGUUCCAAACAUGGGACUCGAUGACUUCUCCGGCUAUAUAUGGUAACAUGGCUGAUAUUUACUUAGCUUGUUAAAUGUUGUUGGACCGUGUAGUAAUUUAGUAGUUUGGAUAAUGUAUGUCUUAUUUUUAAUCAUAACAGGUUAUGACGUUUUAGUUUAUAUUAAAAUCAAGAAUAUUGUUGAUUGUAUGUCA